GGCUCAGAAGUGCAAUUCUCUGCCUGAGCCACGUCCAAGGUGUUGGACUCCCUGCAGUUACAGCACAGAGACCUGAUACCGAGGACACAACUUCCUGCCUCACUGACAGUGCCCGCAUUGUGACACUGGCUGCUCUUCAGCUCUUCUUCAUUGUUGCUGGUCUGUUGGUAUCUACAGAAGACUAGUCUAGAUGACCUACACACAAUGAGAGAGCUUUUUCUAAUGUGAAGACCUUACAGUCAACACGGAGAAAACAG